rnacentral:rRNA from 1 species
GAUGAACGCUGGCGGCGUGCUUAACACAUGCAAGUCGAACGAAAAACGGAAGAUGAUUUCCUUCGGGACGGAGAAUGGUGGGAGGGAGUGGAGGACGGGUGAGUAACGCGUGGGUAAGGUGACUUGUACAGGGGGAGAACAGUAGGAAACGGCAGCUAAUACCGAAUAAGGGGGGAGCAUCGCAUGAGGCAGUGGGAAAAACGCGGGCGGAAUAAGAUGGAGCCGGGUGGGUUUAGCUAGUUGGUGAGGUAACGGCCCACCACGGGGGCGAGCGCUAGCCCCUCUGAGUGGCUGAUCCCCCACCCGGGAGCUGAGACACCCUCCCUACUCCUGCGGGAGGCCGCAGCCUCCUAUAUUGCGCAAUGGGCGAGAGCCUGAUGCAGCCAUGCCGCGUCUAUUAAGACGGCCUUCGGUGUGGAAAGUACUUUUUUCGGGGAGGAAGCAAUUUCAGUUAAUACGUUUGCUCAUUGACGUUACCUGCUGAAGAAGCACCGGCUAACUCCGUG